rnacentral:rRNA from 1 species
UACGUAGGGGGCGAGCGUUGUCCGGAAUCAUUGGGCGUAAAGCGCGUGUAGGCGGCCCGGUAAGUCCGCUGUGAAAGUCCAGGGCUCAACCCUGGGAUGCCGGUGGAUACUGUCGGGCUCGAGUCCGGAAGAGGCGAGUGGAAUUCCUGGUGUAGCGGUGAAAUGGCGUAGAUAUCAGGAGGAAUACCGAUGGCGAAGGCAGGUCUCUGGGCUGACACUGACGCUCAUGCACGAAAGCGUGGGGAGCAAACAGG